rnacentral:rRNA from 1 species
GACAGAGGGUGCAAACGUUGUUCGGAUUUACUGGGCGUAAAGCGCGUGUAGGCGGCUUUGCAAGUCGGAUGUGAAAGCCCACGGCUCAACCGUGGAAGUGCAUCCGAAACUGCAUGGCUCGAGUCUCGGAGAGGAAGGUGGAAUGCUUGGUGUAGAGGUGAAAUUCGUAGAUAUCAAGCAGAACACCUGCGGCGAAGGCGGCCUUCUGGGCGAUGACUGACGCUGAGACGCGAAAGCGUGGGGAGCAAACAGG